rnacentral:rRNA from 1 species
CAGUCGCCGCGGGAAUACGUAGGGUGCAAGCGUUAGUCGGAAUUACUGGGCGUAAAGCGUGCGCAGGCGGUUAUAUAAGUCAGAUGUGAAAUCCCCGGGCUCAACCUGGGAACUGCAUUUGAGACUGUAUGGCUAGAGUGUGUCAGAAGGGGGGUAGAAUUCCACGUGUAGCAGUGAAAUGCGUAGAUAUGUGGAGGAAUACCGAUGGCGAAGGCAGCCCCCUGGGAUAACACUGACGCUCAUGCACGAAAGCGUGGGGAGCAAACAGGAUUAGAUACCCCCGUAGUCCCUGUCUCUUAUA